UCAUUAACCCAUUUUCCCACCAAAUUCUGAGAAAAUUUUCAAUUUUUUCCCUCUCAAAGCCUUUCAAGGUCUUACACGGUGGUGUAUCUGCUUUGAUCGCUGAGUCUUUAGCAAGUAUAGGAGCUUACGUGGCUUGUGGUUUCCAAAGGAUCGCUGGAGUUCAACUCUCCAUCAACCACUUGAAAAGUGCUGAUCUUGGAGACCUUGUCUUCGCCGAAGCAUCUCCUGUAAGCACAGGCAAAACCAUUCAGGUUUGGGAAGUCAAGCUUUGGAAAACAACAAAAGGGUCAGAGAACGCUAACAAAAGCUUAAUAUCUUCCUCUAGAGUCACAGUUCUCUGCAAUCUUCCUAUCCCUGAUCACGCCAAAGAUGCAUCAGACCCGCUUAGACUGAUCUUCUCGAAGCUGUAGAUUUCAAAGCUUUGUUCUCUCUCUAUGAUUGAGUUUAGUUGU
rnacentral:lncRNA from 1 species